CCUGAGUCCAGCCAAAAACCUUACGUGAAUUGUCUCUCGUGGUCCCGCACGGAACAUGAACGGUGACCUGGAAGUGAAGGCACGUCUCGAGUAACAACAAGCCGACGGAAUUUCAACAAGCCGACGCAACACUGAAAGUUUAAAAUGUUGAAACAUGCGUAGAUCCAGCUUUCGAAAACUUUGACAGUGACAGGAAUGAAAGUAACUUGAAUUGCCUACCAGUAUGAGGUGCAAAGCAAAAAAAUAUCUUUUCAGAUGCACCUAAACCGUGACGUAACUACGUACACAAACUCCGUGCACAGUCUUUCCGUAUGCUAAUAAUGUGUACUAGUUAUAAGGUGUUGGUGGACAUUCGAUUCGUCUGGCUGCUGUUGCUCACAACUCUCUCCGCUGGGUCUUAUGACUUCGUAAUCAGACCGGAGUUCGGCGAAAAGUUUAGUGAGCUCACCGUUAAUGCCUUUGUUGGCCAGACGAGUCACCUUCCUUGCACUGUGAAACACCUUGCGGGGAAACAGGUGUCAUGGAUUCGAGGUCACGACUUGCAAGUGCUUUCUACAGGCCGAAGCACCAUUUCUACAGACCUGCGGAUAUCUGUGUUACCGGGUACAACGUCCAAAGCAAGAAAUCCUAGAGAUAUCAUGUAUCAGGCCUGUCUGCAGUGUACAGGUAUUGGCCGCUUCUCUCUAUCUCCACUUCAUUAUGUAAAAGUUACAGAUGGAGUAUUUAAAACAAGUCAAGGCGAUAGAAAGGACGAAGAAAAACCGCAACGUCGCCAAAGCCUUCAGGGUUGGAAUAGGACCAGACCAAAACAUCGAUCCAAGGGAAGAAGAGAAAGGUAUACAAGAAGCAAGAAAAGAGCACGGUUCAGAAGAGCCCAAGAAUUCAAAUUUGCAUCUGACGUCAUGGUGAGCCUGUACCGUGAAGCGGAAUCUCAUUUGCCCUCACAUUUCUUCAGCAAGCAGAGCAGCUCGCGGAGAUCACCUUUCUACAAUCCACUUAAAAACUCCAUUUCCAUAUAUCCUCAAGGUCCAUUUUUAGGUGAGGAGGACGACAAAUUAUUACAACCAGGGCCCAAUGACAUCGGCGGCAUAUGGGAGCCUGAGGAUUAUACUCUGCAGAUCAAGUAUACACAACUCGAUGAUGCUGGAACCUACAUGUGUCAGAUCAACACUGAACCAGCGCAUCUUCCAGACAGUGUUACUUAAAGUCUUCAAGGUGAAGGCAGAAAUUAUAGGCAGUCAUGAACUGUUUGUCAAAGCUGGAAACCCCGUGACACUUUCUUGUAGAGUGAGCCAUGGAAGCAUGAUCCCAGGCUUCACGCUGUGGUACAAGGAGGAGCGGCUCGUGGAGUAC
rnacentral:misc_RNA from 1 species